CUAGGCAGCAGUGGGGAAUCUUAGACAAUGGGCGCAAGCCUGAUCUAGCCAUGCCGCGUGAGUGAUGAAGGCCUUAGGGUCGUAAAGCUCUUUCGCCAGGGAUGAUAAUGACAGUACCUGGUAAAGAAACCCCGGCUAACUCCGUGCCAGCAGCCGCGGUAAUACGGAGGGGGUUAGCGUUGUUCGGAAUUACUGGGCGUAAAGCGCACGUAGGCGGAUCAGAAAGUAAGGGGUGAAAUCCCCGGGCUCAACCCUGGAACUGCCUCAUAAACUCCUGGUCUAGAGUUCGAGAGAGGUGAGUGGAAUUCCAAGUGUAGAGGUGAAAUUCGUAGAUAUUUGGAGGAACACCAGUGGCGAAGGCGGCUCACUGGCUCGAUACUGACGCUGAGGUGCGAAAGGGUGGGGAGCAAACAGGA
rnacentral:rRNA from 1 species